AGUAAUGAUUUAACAUCACACACUUGUAAACGAUUGGGGAUUGCUGGCCGUAAAACGCCGGCGGUCGUCAUGAAUUAACAAACCAUAUUGUUGUAAUUAUUUACCAAAUAUUAUGAUAAAUUCUAAUA
rnacentral:misc_RNA from 1 species